AUCGAGAAGGCAACAUGUCGCUGUCCUGACUCCUGAGAUACGAUUCUCGAUGUGCUGGUGGUUUUAACGUCAUCGUGGGCCUUGAGAUUCACAACUCUAAUGUUCACCCAGUUAAAAAGACCAGUUACUGUCUAGAGCAGAGUAACAGACCACUGCCGGCUCUGAGGCUGCUGCUCGGGACUGACCAGUCCUGGAAUGUAAACUGGGAAGUUCCCAGCAGUGAAUGUGUUUAGCCCCCAGCCAGCCCUCGGCAACAGCUCUCCUAAGCAAAGAGGAAUGUGUUUGUUUUCAACUUGUCGGCUCUGAUGAGGGGACAAAGAAAGGAUUCCACUGCCUCUCAGAUCAGCAUCAAACGCCCUGCAGACAGAGACAAGCCCUCAGGACCCCGGUGCCCGACCAGGGUCUCGUUAUGAUGAAGACGAGGAUGAAGCCCAGUGAGCAGGAAUGCACAGAGGUCAGGCACCACUUGUUGCUCCUCACCUGAGCUGUCCCAGGUUGUAUUGCCUCGUCUCUCCGUCCGUGUUGCGGGUGACGCACACAGAGAAGCAGGGCUGGAGCUGCCGGAGCUCCAGCAGGACGAUGGCCAGGUAGUGGAUGAAGAGCAGAGCGUCCACCAGCGACACGGCGUACUGCACGAUUCCCUGGUAGUUCUCGUCCUGCAGGGGCAGCGAGGAAGUGGGGGGGCAUAGAAAGUCAAGAUUCAGAAAAAUGCUCUUUGUACCAAAUGCAAAUCCAGUUAAUACGUGCAAGGAUAUUUCAAAACUUAAAAUAAGGCAUAAAAUACUCCUGGGGCGUAAAAAAAAGAGAACAUGAACAUGUAAGACAAGAUGUAGAGCAUAUGAAUAUUUAGAGAUCUUUCAAAGGAUGGCAGGCUUUCUAGACCCCCCCACCAUUACUGUGUGUGUGUGUGUGUGUGUGUGUGUGUGUGUAUGAAUUCUGAAUGAGCGAUCAACAGGGAUUUUAAACUAUGACUCACAGUAAACAAACGGCCCUGGAGAAGCCAAAUAUCUGUGUUUUGGUUGUUUGAUUUUGUUGAGCUUUUAAAGGCAUUAAAAAUAAAUGUGUAUGAAACGUCUCCCACUGCA